rnacentral:rRNA from 1 species
GAUGAACGCUGGCGGCGUGCCUAAUACAUGCAAGUCGAGCGAACGGACGAGAAGCUUGCGUCUCUGAUGUUAGCGGCGGACGGGUGAGUAACACGUGGAUAACCUACCUAUAAGACUGGGAUAACUUCGGGAAACCGGAUCUAAUACCGGAUAAUAUUUUGAACCGCAUGGUUCAAAAGUGAAAGACGGUUUUGCUGUCACUUAUAGAUGGAUCCGCGCUGCAUUAGCUAGUUGGUAAGGUAACGGCUUACCAAGGCAACGAUGCAUAGCCGACCUGAGAGGGUGAUCGGCCACACUGGAACUGAGACACGGUCCAGACUCCUACGGGAGGCAGCAGUAGGGAAUCUUCCGCAAUGGGCGAAAGCCUGACGGAGCAACGCCGCGUGAGUGAUGAAGGUCUUCGGAUCGUAAAACUCUGUUAUUAGGGAAGAACAUAUGUGUAAGUAACUGUGCACAUCUUGACGGUACCUAAUCAGAAAGCCACGGCUAACUACGUG